GACAGAGGGUGCGAGCGUUGUUCGGAAUCAUUGGGCGUAAAGGGUGCGUAGGCGGCUUGGCAAGUUGGAUGUGAAAGCCCCGGGCCUAACCCGGGAAGUGCAUCCAAAACUGCUUUGCUUGAGUCCUGGAGAGGGUGGUGGAAUUCCCAGUGUAGAGGUGAAAUUCGUAGAUAUUGGGAGGAACACCCGUGGCGAAGGCGGCCACCUGGACAGAGACUGACGCUGAGGCACGAAAGCGUGGGGAGCAAACAGG
rnacentral:rRNA from 1 species